AAGAUUAAGCCAUGCAUGCCUAAGUAUAAACAUUUGUACUGUGAAACUGCGGACGGCUCAUUAAAUCAGUUAUAGUUUAUUUGAUAGUAACUACUACUUGGAUAACCGUGGUAAUUCUAGAGCUAAUACAUGCACUGAAAUCCCGACUUCUGGAAGGGAUGUAUUUAUUAGAAUAAAAACCAACCAGGGCAACCGGUUCUUUGGUGAUUCAUGAUAACUUUUCGAAUCGCAU
rnacentral:rRNA from 1 species